rnacentral:rRNA from 1 species
UACGAAGGUGGCAAGCGUUACUCGGAAUUACUAGGCGUAAAGGGCAUGUAGGCGGUUUGAUGAGUCUGUUGUGAAAGCUCCCGGCUUAACUGGGAGAGGUCAACAGAUACUGUCGAACUUGAGUAUGGGAGAGGGUACUGGAAUUCCUGGUGUAGCGGUGAAAUGCGCAGAGAUCAGGAGGAACACCGAUGGCGAAAGCAGGUACCUGGACCAUUACUGACGCUCAGCUGCGAAAGCUAGGGGAGCAAACAGG